rnacentral:lncRNA from 1 species
AUGCAUAUGUGGAAACACACCCAUAUCUCCUGCUCACACCCCCCAUGCAUAUGUAGAAACAUACCCACAUCUCCUGCUCACACCCCCCAUGCAUAUGUGGAAACACGCCCACAUCUCCUGCUCACCCCCCCCAUGCAUAUGUGGAAACACGCCCACAUCUCCUGCUCACCCCCCCAUGCAUAUGUGGAAACACGCCCACAUCUCCUGCUCACCCCCCCAUGCAUAUGUGGAAACACGCCCAUAUCUCCUGCUCACCCCCCCAUGCAUAUGUGGAAACACACCCAUAUCUCCUGCUCACCCCCCCCCAUGCAUAUGUGGAAACAUACCCACCUCUGCUUACAUCCCCCACCCUUCCAUGCACAUUUGGAACCUCCCUGUGCUUCCUCAGUCAGACCUGUGUCUACUAGGUUUGGUCCAUGGAUAUUUCAAAGGGAGAUUUCCCCUGCCAUUUAGCUGUCCUCACAAAACUAGGACAAGUGACCAACACUGCACUCAAUGAGCCAGCCUCCCUCUUUUAGGGACCAAGCAAUUGCUUCUCCUAGACCAGAGCAGGGGGAAGUGAUCGGCUAUCUCACCUGGCACAUGAAGCCCGUUCUUGGAACUAUGCAAAGGGCAGAGGCUGGGAGUCUGGGUGCUUGGCCCCCAUCCUGUCCUACCUCACCAGGGCACUUUCAAGGUCCAAGGCCUCAGAUGUCUCCAGGCCCAUACGGGACAAUCAACCCUGACUGAGCUCUCCCAUCCCCUUGGGUGAGGAUGACUGUUAUUUUUGUAGCUGAGAACGUGGAACCCCACGAGUUUUUACUGCCCUUCACCCUAACCUCUCCCGCCUCCACCCCACAAUGAAUGUAUUUAUUGUGAGAAUGGCUGUACUUCUUCAGGAAUGCCCCCACUCAUCACCUAGGUGGGUGGGACAGGCCUGGGUUGGGAUGGGGAGCCUGGACUCUGCUCCUUCUCAUGUUGGUUAAUAAAAGCCCUCUUUCCCCACAGCUUUGAGUAUCUGCUUGCUCUAGACUGGCUUUACC